rnacentral:rRNA from 1 species
AGUGAACGCUGGCGGUAGGCCUAACACAUGCAAGUCGAACGGCAGCACCGUAAGAGCUUGCUCUUACGGGUGGCCAGUGGCGGACGGGUGAGGAAUACAUCGUACUCUACUUUUUCGUGGGGGAUAACGUAGGGAAACUUACGCUAAUACAGCAUACGACCUACGGUUGAAAGCAGGGGAUCUUCGGACCUUGCGCGAUUGAAUGAGCCGAUGUCGGAUGAGCUAGUUGGCGGGGUAAAGGCCCACCAAGUCGACGAUCCGUAGCUGGUCUGAGAGGAUGGUCAGCCACAUGGGAACGGAGACACGGUCCAGACUCCUACGGUAGGCAGCAGUGGGGAAUAGUGGACAACAGGGGCAAGCCUGGUCCAGCCAUACCGCGUGGGUGAAGAAGGCCUUCGGGUUGUAAAGCCCGUUUGUGGGGAAAGAAAAGCAGCAGGUUAAUACCCCGCUGUUCUGACGGUACCCAAAGAAUAAGCACCGGCUAACUUCGUG